AAUCAGGAAGUUUCUUCGUAGCAUAAAGAUUAACAGUGCUUCCUGUGAGACAGAGUUGAAUCCCAACGAGGGAGUGCGCGGCUGUGUUGGAUCCUCAUAAGACUUGUCUUAGCUGUCGUGUUUUACAUUACCAGUGUUAUCAGACAAAAAAAAUGACUGUUUACGGUCUUGCUGGGUUGCUCUUUAUAAUCGGAUGUUUGGCGGCCAUGGACCCUUCCGCCGCUACCAACGCCACUGAGGGUGGCGAUAACUCCACGGCUACCGAUAGCGGAUCCGGUGCAGUAAACGUCGAGAGAAUAUUCGUCUUGGCAUUAACAGCGGCUACUGGGAUGUACCAGAUGCUGCUGUAGUAGUCUUCAAUACCUGAGCAGUACAUGGACGACCAACGGCUACUUUUCUGACGUCUCUAUUGCUUUCUUUCUGAUGUUACAGGAUAAAUUGCUUCUAAAAUACUGUAUGCCCAUAUCAAUAUAUAGUUAGGCGAUGAGUUAAUAAAGCUCUGCCAAAUAACGUCUGGAGAAUAUUUGUAAAACAAUAAGUUCAGAUAAUUUUUCCCUUACACGGAAGCCUUGAAAAUCCUCGAAAAGAAACAUUAUGGUUUAAGGAAAAUGAAGAAAGUUAUACAUGUAAAA